CACUUGUUAAUAAGAUGUUUCUUACUAAAAAUGUCUGAGCAUAUGAACUCUGUAGUGAUUUCAGUGCAUUACUGAGAUAAGCU
ensembl:snoRNA